GCGGGUAUGGCGGAAUUGGCAGACGCGCCAGAUUUAGGUUCUGGUGGUAACCCCGUGCAGGUUCAAGUCCUGUUACCCGCACCA
rnacentral:tRNA from 1 species